rnacentral:rRNA from 1 species
CACGUAGGGGGCAAGCGUUGUCCGGAUUUAUUGGGCGUAAAGAGCUCGUAGGUGGUUCGGUAAGUCGGGUGUUAAACCCCCAGGCUCAACCUGGGGACGCCACUCGAUACUGCUGUGACUUGAGUCCGGUAGGGGAGCGUGGAAUUCCUGGUGUAGCGGUGAAAUGCGCAGAUAUCAGGAGGAACACCAGCGGCGAAGGCGGCGCUCUGGGCCGAUACUGACGCUGAGGAGCGAAAGCGUGGGGAGCGAACAGG